rnacentral:rRNA from 1 species
CCUACGGGGGGCAGCAGUGGGGAAUAUUGGACAAUGGGGGAAACCCUGAUCCAGCGACGCCGCGUGAGUGAAGAAGUAUUUCGGUACGUAAAGCUCUAUCAGCAGGGAAGAAAAUGACGGUACCUGACUAAGAAGCCCCGGCUAACUACGUGCCAGCAGCCGCGGUAAUACGUAGGGGGCAAGCGUUAUCCGGAUUUACUGGGUGUAAAGGGAGCGUAGACGGCAGCGCAAGUCUGGUGUGAAAUGCCGGGGCGCAACCCCGGAACUGCCCUGGAAACUGUGAAGCUGGAGUGCAGGAGGGGUAAGCGGAAUUCAUGGUGUAGCGGUGAAAUGCGUAGAUAUCAGGAGGAACACCGGCGGCGAAGGCGGGUGACUGGACUGUAACUGACGUUGAGGCUCGAAGGCGUGGGGAGCAAACAGGAUUAGAUACCCCUGUAGUC